UUAACUUGUUUGUUUUUUCUCGAGAUGCCAACGCAAAGAGACAGAGUAUAGUAGGCUGCCGGCGGGCUUCGCGCCCCGGCGAGCCGGGGCACCCGCCGAAGCAACGUGCUUGUAGUGAGUUCACAGGGUGAAGGAGUCUUGCGAGUCCUGUAAUGAUCCCUCCGCUGGUUCACCAACGGAGA
rnacentral:misc_RNA from 1 species